UGGGACAGGAGGCACUGGGGUGGGUGGA
rnacentral:piRNA from 1 species